UGUAUAGUGAGAACGUGUAGGCUCUAGGGUGAAGUAGCUGGUGGCACGGCAGGUCAGCGAGAUAGCUGAGCUACGUAGCAGUCUGGGAUUCAUUCAGAAGAGCUCCCAUGGGGGCUGUUGACUGGAAGGAGGCGCCACCUCUCCUUAUGAACUACAGCCGCAGCAGAAGCUGCCAGCGAAACCAUAAUCAGCUCUGUCGUCUGCUUUUCCUGCACUGCACAUUGGCUCUGAAGAAUUAGACUUGUGGAAGAGCCAAAUGAGCAGAUCAGCACAGGGAGGGCAUCCAACACUCGGGAGCCCACGCCUGUCCUGUCCUUGUCGACCCUGGUGCUCCGCUCUCAGCUCCUAAUGUGGCAGGAAAAGUGUGAACAUGGCCUUGGCAAACUGCAGUCCAGUCCACCAUCAUCACCACAGGCCAGUCAGGGGGAACUUGCACACUCCUCACACAGCUGGUUCUCUAACUCCUGCAAAGGAUUAACUCCUUGUACUUCUAAAUCCAGCCACAAGCUUUAAAGUAAUAAUUCCUGACAUAUUUCAACAUUUAGCAUUAAACAUUAUAGUUAAGCUAUACUUAAGUUCACUAUUGGUCUUUUAGGAGCAUGCUACGAAAAAAAUAUAUUAUUAAUGUUUUUUUCUAAACUGCUGUAAGUCAAGUGUUGACUAACAAGAAGACAAGUUGUGUUUACGUACAUAUAGAUAUGUCAAUGGUAUCUUCAAUCCUGAAUUUCAACAUCCAUGUUUUCUUGCUAGCUGCCUUCCCCCUCUCCUUGUUUUCUAUAAGACCUGCAGCAUAUGCAUUAGGUGUAUUUGGUCUUGUGAUUGUCUGGAUUUAUGUGCAGGCAAGUGUACAUGAAGAACAGAAGAUAAAUUGGGAGUGUUUAGAAAAAUACUCAUCAAAAGUUGCAUGGAUGCACUUCCAAAACUUCUGCAUUUUUAAAGUACAUUUUCAAAAUAC